ensembl:lncRNA
UGUGAAUGUGGGCUGCCUGUUACCGGAGCACACUUUGCUCCCAUCCCCCAUCAACACUGAGCAAUGGCGGCUACCCUUUUUUGCGUGCCGCUUUGUCCUUCUCAGUUCAGCUUGUAAAAGCCAUGUGUACAAAAGUCGGUAAGGAAAAUACGUGUUUGCCCUUGUGUUUCAUAAGAAUGCGCGUCAGUUCAUGAGCACAUUAUAAUUAUUUUCCGCACUUCUCUCAUCGCAUGUCUUUUAUGUCGCACUGCUUUUUUUCCCUCCUCCACGGCGGGGCAUUUCUCUGUGGGUCCUAACAAUGGAGGCGGAGGAAAUGAGCCACCAGCACUGUUCACUGCACCCGCUCACUGAGCCCGAACAGCCCGAAUCACGGCGUCAGAGCCGGCUGUGUGUGUGUUGUUCGACGGGCACUGUGUUUAUUUGUGUCUCGACCUUGGCGCACGAAUUUAUGGGCUGUUAUGUAAAAAAAAAAAAAAAGCCCUCAAGAGUGUCAAGUGCGCACAUACAGGGAUGAGUUUCAAACAUGGACGUCGGGAAGGGGCGGGGCGACGAAGAGCUGCGAUGUGACAUGGCGGCGCCGCUCCACAUUUACACUCUGAGCGCCUUGUAUCUGACUGAUGUUGUUCACAUGGAGCUUGAGAUGUGACACUAACUUUUGGGGAGAAAAGCCCGAUUUAAUCCGUAAUAACAUCCGUGUCGUCCACGUUUCCCUCCCAAACACUUCGCCUCUAUUCCCCCGUCGCGGCGGUGGGCGGGAGAAACCGUCUGAAGUCGCCGCUUGACUCGUCCAGACGCACAUCAAUCAAUCAAAGUGACACUACGUCAACCGAAGCGCUCUCGAUUCGACAUAUUUACUGCGUAACUCGACGGAAACUCGAUUUUCUUGCGCUCACGGUGCUGUGGAGCUGCCACGGUUCCGGCUCCGGUCCGUUUUGUGGGCUUUUAUCGACUCUGAUUAUUGUUUUAGGGGAGAAAGGGACGGUUGCAGCGAUAGAAUAGGAGGGGGCGUGGCCUUUGGGUUAAGAAAUCCUAUCCAUUGUUACUCUACGCGCUAGGAGAACACCUCUGCCGAGCCUCUGGCCAAUCAGAGACCACCGACCUCAUGAAGACCCCGCCCACAAGCCUAUAUUAAAGGCUCGGCCGUCAGAAGCAUUGGCCACUGGCACAAUAUAAUACUGAUUGAUCCGCUAACCGAGACGAGGGGAUUUACUUUAUUCAACCUUUCAUUUCAGCCGUCCUUUAUUUUAUUCUACUAAACAAUGGCAGACACACAGGUCGACUCCGGCUCGGAUAUCUCUGCCAAGGACCUGAAAGAGAAGAAGCUGGUGGAGGAGAAGGAGAACGGCAAAGACGCCGCCACCAAUGGGAAGGAGAAUGAAGAGAACGGUGAGCCCGAGGAGGUGGACGAGGAAGAAGAGGAAGAUGAUGGAGAAGGUGAUGAGGAAGAUGAGGAGGAGGACGACGACGAGAUUGAGGGUGGCACAAAACGGGCAGCUGAGGAUGACGAGGACGACGACGAGGUGAGGCAGCGGCGCUUAAACGCCCUUAAAUCGAGCGUCGCCGUGACACCCAGCAGGCGCCGGUCUAACCCGCCACCGUCUUCUCUUCUUUCAGGACGACGUCGAAACCAAGAAGCAGAAAACCGACGAUGACGAUUGAUGCGUUUCCCCCGCGCCAUCCUGCUGAACCACUUCCUGAUUCUUCACCUCUGACCAUUUUUCUAUGUCGCAGGUGGAGGGGCUGGAGGACUGAUUUAAAGGAAAAAAUAAUAAUAAUAAAAAAAAUCCAACAUGGUCAUUAGCAAGUAGAGUUCAACAAACACCCGCCACGCCCACACCCACCCGAGCUCCCCUCGACGCUGCGAGACAAAUUUUCUAGAGGAACCCGCCACCGCAUCGACGACGCAGAAAUCCGGCUUCUCUUCAGCAACAACACAAAAGGAGAAUUUGUUUGUAUUUUUAUUUACAUUUUAUAUUUUUGUACAUAUUGUUAGGAGAGGGGAGGGGGGCAGUUUCUCUCUCGGCAGCGAUCCCGUCAGACCAAAUCGGUGCUUCUCUAACGAAAGAUUUUACUUGGUUGACCAUGUUACGAUAUCUCAACAGAUCUUAGAAAAACGUGUAAAAAAAUAAAAUGAAUAAAAACAUGAAAGACAACCUCUUAAGCCGUUGAACUCAGAGCAUUCCAGUAAAUUUAAUGUAUGUACUUUAGCUGUACCAUAACUAGUUUGUUUGUAUGGGAGGGUAAGGCCAAAGAAAAGAGCCUCUUUUCUUUUUCCUUUCUUUUGGUUUUUUUUCUUUUGGUUUUGUUUUUGUCAGCGACUUUUUGUUUUAUGACGGCCUGUUUUGAUGUAUGUGCAAAGUUUGUUGUUUGACAAUAAACCGGACUUUUAUUUUGUGAGUUGUACUUUGUAUCUCUGCCCCUUUUUAUUUGUGCUUUGCUCUCCUGUGAGGAAGAGGAAGCAGUGCAGGUAAACCUGAGGUCUGCUUUUACUUUAGGGUCACAACAGCGAGGAGGUGGGUCCAGCACAUCUUAUUGGACAUUUUACACUCAUUACAUCCAUAUAAUUCAUAUUACAUAAAAGUUAAGGUUUGGUACUAAAAUAAACUGGCGGUUCCAAAAGACUAAAUGUGGUUUAUUUCUUUUGGAUUUUUCUCUUCUUUUUGUCUAUAUUGCAAACAUGCAAACAGAAGCAGUUCUGAUAGUUGAAAGUUGUAAGAAUAACAUAAUGUGUCACAUAAAUAAGGGUUUCUGCAUGAAUUUAAAGUCUUAACAUUAAAAUAAAGCAUAUUAAGGUCUGAGAAGC